CCUGAAAGUGCAAAGAAGCUCUGUUCUCUUUUGUCCCCAAAACCUUUCCCCUCUCAGCCUGACUCUCACAUCUUGAUCCUUUUUUCCUCAGUUCUAGGAGGAGGAGGCGUUCAAAAUCCUUUUAUCCCUGUAGUAAAAGUUGGAAGCAUGAAGAGAAACCUGAAAAAAUAAUGCCAAAAGAUGGGUCUUAAACCUGGAGGACAGUUGGUUGGUGAGGCGACGUGGUGCUCUGAGUGGGGAGAGGAACAGGCAACACAAAUAUGUUUGGGCAGCUGAUUAACCUUUGAGCUUGCUUUUCCCUCUGAGCCCGCUGGGUGUGCAGCCUUGACGUGUUCUGUGAGUCCAUUCGCCGUGCCGAGCCCCACGCUCGGGUGUUGGGCAGGUUUUCGGAUGUCGCAGCCCCAUGCGGUGCAGUGGGGACAACGCCAAGGCAGGUCCCUGAGCGUCUCCCUGCUCAGUCUUUCGGGUGCAGAUUCGGAAGUUUCCACUCACUUUUGGAGCUCAGUCUGAGACAUGUUCACCUUGGUUUGCAGAGACGGCAAUCAUGGCCAGUGGUGCUCAGAGUUUGUGGACACUCUAAACUGGCAAGCGAGCGCAGGAGCUGCUCGUCAGCCACCUAAUGGGAGACACGGGAAACCAGUGGACCCUUCAGAUCCAGAGUUGAGGUGCUCUGCCCUCCAUCCCACUGCAUGCCAAGAACCUUCCUUGGCUGUUACUGAAAAUGGGAAGCCUUCCGUCGCUAAGGCGUGCAGUCCAGGGAAGGUCACGCAGGGCAGGUUAAGGUGCCAGCCCUUGACUAGAGGAGUCAGGACCGUUAUUACUUUGGGCAGGAGAAGACUGAGGAAUGGGAAGGCAGAACGACCUGGGUAA
ensembl:lncRNA